GAUGAACGCUGGCGGCGUGCCUAACACAUGCAAGUCGAACGAAGCACCUUACCUGAUUCUUCGGAUGCAAGUUUGGUGACUGAGUGGCGGACGGGUGAGUAACGCGUUGGUAACCUGCCCUGUACAGGGGGAUAACAGCUGGAAACGGCUGCUAAUACCGCAUAAGCGCACGAGGAGACAUCUCCUUGUGUGAAAAACUCCGGAGGUACAGGAUGGGCCCGCGUCUGAUUAGCUGGUUGGCAGGGUAACGGCCUACCAAGGCAACGAUCAGUAGCCGGUCUGAGAGGAUGAACGGCCACAUUGGAACUGAGACACGGUCCAAACUCCUACGGGAGGCAGCAGUGGGGAAUAUUGCACAAUGGGGGAAGCCCUGAUGCAGCAACGCCGCGUGAGUGAAGAAGUAUUUCGGUAUGUAAAGCUCUAUCAGCAGGGAAGAUAAUGACGGUACCGGACUAAGAAGCUCCGGCUAAAUACGUG
rnacentral:rRNA from 1 species